GCGCCUGUAGCUCAGUUGGAUAGAGCGUCGGACUUCGAAUCCGCAGGUCGGGGGUUCGAGCCCCUCCAGGCGCG
rnacentral:tRNA from 1 species